rnacentral:rRNA from 1 species
GAAUUGACGGGGGCCCGCACAAGCGGAGGAACAUGUGGUUUAAUUCGAUGAUACGCGAGGAACCUUACCCGGGCUUGAAUUGCAGAGGAAGGAUUUGGAGACAAUGACGCCCUUCGGGGCCUCUGUGAAGGUGCUGCAUGGUUGUCGUCAGCUCGUGCCGUGAGGUGUCGGCUUAAGUGCCAUAACGAGCGCAACCCCUCUCCUUAGUUGCCAUCAGGUCAAGCUGGGCACUCUGGGGACACUGCCACCGUAAGGUGUGAGGAAGGUGGGGAUGACGUCAAAUCAGCACGGCCCUUACGUCCGGGGCUACACACGUGUUACAAUGGCAGGUACAGAGAGAUGGUGUUCUGCAAAGCGCAUCUAAUCCUUAAAGCCUGUCUCAGUUCGGACUGGGGUCUGCAACCCGACCCCACGAAGCUGGAUUCGCUAGUAAUCGCGCAUCAGCCAUGGCGCGGUGAAUACGUUCCCGGGCCUUGUACACACCGCCCGUCAAGCCAUGAAAGCCGGGGGCGCCUAAAAUCCGUGACCGUAAGGAGCGGCCUAGGGCGAAACUGGUAAUUGGGGCUAAGUCGUAACAAGGUAGCCGUACCGGAAGGUGCGGCUGGAACACCUCCUUU